AGGUUGAAUCAGAAAAUAUUCCCAGUACAAGUAGCGAACCCUCAAGAGCAAAUAAAAGAAACAACUUGUGAUUGAGCCUGUAUUAGAGAAGGUCAAGAGAAGAUUUGCCAACGUAAUAAGAUCAGCCAUGUUUAAUAACCUCAAUUUCUACAACACUACCAAAUGAGUAUGACAACAACAGCAGCAAUGAAGAAUCAUCAAAUAGUAGCAAAGUGGUUGAUCUUGAUAGUUGUCCUGCUGAGGAGGUUUUGGACCCAAAUAAUCUUAGUGGUGACUCAGACUCAGAGAGUGAUCUUGGUGCUGAACAAAGUUAUGAGACAGAGACAGAAGAGAUAAUCACAUCUAGUGAG